GAUGAACGCUGGCGGCGUGCCUAAUACAUGCAAGUCGAGCUAACGGACGAGAAGCCUGCUUUUCUGAUGUUAGCGGCGGACGGGUGAGUAACACGUGGAUAACCUACCUAUAAGACUGGGAUAACUUCGGGAAACCGGAGCUAAUACCGGAUAAUAUUUUGAACCGCAUGGUUCAAAAGUGAAAGACGGUCUUGCUGUCACUUAUAGAUGGAUCCGCGCUGCAUUAGCUAGUUGGUAAGGUAACGGCUUACCAAGGCAACGAUGCAUAGCCGACCUGAGAGGGUGAUCGGCCACACUGGAACUGAGACACGGUCCAGACUCCUACGGGAGGCAGCAGUAGGGAAUCUUCCGCAAAGGGCGAAAGCCUGACGGAGCAACGCCGCGUGAGUGAUGAAGGUCUUCGGAUCGUAAAACUCUGUUAUUAGGGAAGAACAUAUGUGUAAGUAACUGUGCACAUCUUGACGGUACCUAAUCAGAAAGCCACGGCUAACUACGUG
rnacentral:rRNA from 1 species